GACGAACGCUGGCGGCGUGCUUAACACAUGCAAGUCGAACGCUGAAGCUCAGCUUUUGUUGGGUGGAUGAGUGGCGAACGGGUGAGUAACACGUGAGUAACCUGCCCCCUUCUUUGGGAUAACGCCCGGAAACGGGUGCUAAUACUGGAUAUUCACUGGUCUUCGCAUGGGGGCUGGUGGAAAGGGUUUUUCUGGUGGGGGAUGGGCUCGCGGCCUAUCAGCUUGUUGGUGGGGUGAUGGCCUACCAAGGCUUUGACGGGUAGCCGGCCUGAGAGGGUGACCGGUAACAUUGGGACUGAGAUACGGCCCAGACUCCUACGGGAGGCAGCAGUGGGGAAUAUUGCACAAUGGGCGCAAGCCUGAUGCAGCGACGCCGCGUGAGGGAUGGAGGCCUUCGGGUUGUGAACCUCUUUCGCUCAUGGUCAAGCCGCAACAAUGGUUGUGGUGAGGGUAGUGGGUAAAGAAGCGCCGGCUAACUACGUG
rnacentral:rRNA from 1 species